CCACACUGUACUUCCUGUUGGACCUCAUGCUGCUCAGCUCCACCUGGUUCUUCAGAGACACAGACAAGCAAACUUGUAGAACUCUUACCUCUCUGACUGUCUUCCUCCUCUUGGUCACGGAUGAGUGUCCAGCUGCUGUCCAGCUCCAGCUGACCUUGUAGUGGUGGACGGGAACGUCCAGGGGGUGGCGGUGUCCUCACCGGGCUGGAUGCCAAAGUUCCACCUCCUCUGCAGAAUGUAGACCACUGGCUCGGAGGAGGCGUUCAAACGGGACGACCAGCUGACGGUCAGGUGCCCGGAGGGAGAUUCCUCAAAGCUCAGGUCCUUCUUUGGUUUCAGAGGAACACCUGGAUGCAACAUUUACAGAAAAUUGUUUUUUAAAGACAAAAAUUUGAGGGUAGAACAGCGUUUUUGUGUUCUAAACUGCUUUGUCAUGUUAAUUUUGAGAAAACGGCAGCGUUCACUCAAGAUCAAUAUCGAACCGACAAAGUUUCAGAUAAUUUGGUAUGCAGGGGGAUUUGUCCGCUUGGAUGACCAGUGUCCAAGAUUUCCUGGUUGAUGUCGCUUCAUAAUUUCCUCGUGAUGUCACAAAAAGAAGCAGAGAGGUGUUGUCUUAAAAUGUAAAUGUACAUG